rnacentral:rRNA from 1 species
AGAGUUUGAUCCUGGCUCAGAUUGAACGCUGGCGGCAGGCCUAACACAUGCAAGUCGAGCGGAUGACGGGAGCUUGCUCCUGGAUUCAGCGGCGGACGGGUGAGUAAUGCCUAGGAAUCUGCCUGGUAGUGGGGGACAACGUUUCGAAAGGAACGCUAAUACCGCAUACGUCCUACGGGAGAAAGCAGGGGACCUUCGGGCCUUGCGCUAUCAGAUGAGCCUAGGUCGGAUUAGCUAGUUGGUGGGGUAAUGGCUCACCAAGGCGACGAUCCGUAACUGGUCUGAGAGGAUGAUCAGUCACACUGGAACUGAGACACGGUCCAGACUCCUACGGGAGGCAGCAGUGGGGAAUAUUGGACAAUGGGCGAAAGCCUGAUCCAGCCAUGCCGCGUGUGUGAAGAAGGUCUUCGGAUUGUAAAGCACUUUAAGUUGGGAGGAAGGGCAGUAAGCGAAUACCUUGCUGUUUUGACGUUACCGACAGAAUAAGCACCGGCUAACUCUGUGCCAGCAGCCGCGGUAAUAC